rnacentral:rRNA from 1 species
AUUGAACGCUGGCGGCAUGCUUUACACAUGCAAGUCGAACGGCAGCGCGGGCUUCGGCCUGGCGGCGAGUGGCGAACGGGUGAGUAAUACAUCGGAACGUGCCCAGUAGUGGGGGAUAGCUCGGCGAAAGCCGGAUUAAUACCGCAUACGACCUGAGGGUGAAAGCGGGGGAUCUUCGGACCUCGCGCUAUUGGAGCGGCCGAGGGCAGAUUAGCUAGUUGGUGGGGUAAAGGCCUACCAAGGCGACGAUCUGUAGCUGGUCUGAGAGGACGACCAGCCACACUGGGACUUGGACACGGCCCAGACGCCUACGGGAGGCAGCAGUGGGGAAUGUUGGGCAAUGGGCGAAAGCCUGAUCCAGCAGUGCCGCGUGUGUGAUGAAGGCCUUCGGGUUGUAAAGCACUUUUGGCGGGAACGAAAAGGACUGUGCUAAUACCACGGUUCGGUGACGGUACCCGCAGAAUAAGCACCGGCUAACUACGUG